rnacentral:snoRNA from 1 species
CUUUGUUAUGAUGAUUGCCUAAUAUGUUCAACUGCUCUGAUGUGUGAAGAAAAUGUGCCUUUCUGAACAGGC